CCAUCUUGGUCACUCAAAAAAGAAGAACCAGAAGCAUGAGGAAUUAUUAAUAAAGUUGACCAAAGGACAACAAAAAAUCUUCAUAAAGAAGAAACAGCAGAAAAUGAGAGAUAAAGACAGAGAAGGAAAGAAGGUGAAUGAUUCACCUGAGCAAUCUCUACCAUGGGAGAUAUCAGCAAAGCACUUCUUAUCUCAGUCUGCAGAGAAUACAAAGGCCUCAUGUUGCUGUAUCAUAUUAUCCUCCUCACUGACUCUGUUUAUACAGGUGGUGGACCCCCAGAGCCACACAGCCAGGCACACCAGCAUACUUUUCUUCAGGGCAAACAAACCCAAUGCAGAUCUCAUCUAAAAACAUACAGUCGUCAGUUUUCUUACAAAGGAGUUAAACUGGUUCAACUAAAUGUUUCUGAGAGCUCAAAAGUCGACAGGACUUUUCUUCUGGCUAUCAAAACAAGUCAUCAUUUGAGGGAGAUGAUAGGAACAUCACACUGACAUAAUCCCUGACAUGAUUACCUCAUAUUUCCUUUAUCAGACUGGAUAUGCAAUCAUCAUGCACCUCAUAUCUGUUGUUGUUGUUUUUUAGAAAUCCAUUGAAGUAUAGUUGCAUCAUCAGCAAUGUGAGUGAGCGCAACAAUGCUCAAUUUAAGCUGUGAAAUUCAAUUCCACUGUGGAUGCUAUUCCGGUUUAUUUGUGAUUGACAUGUAUUUAAUGCUCCCCCUUAACAAAGCUAACAACCACACAGAAAAAAGUCUUCUACACAUUGUUACUCCUGUCUUUUUCAGUAUUUGUCUUUCAAUGUUUUUGUUUGUCUGUGUACGUUUGAUGUGAUCUGUAAAAAUCUGUCAUGACAGAUAUAUUAUUUAUGCACGAGGGUCAAACUAAUCCACAUCACCUGAUGUUUUAUACAUGGGGUCCUACUAUUGAUCUUCAUGAAGAGCAUGACUUAAAGCUCCUCUGAGGAACUUUCUGUUGUUCUAUAUUUAGGCGCCCCCUUGUAGACAAAGGUGGUAUUUGCUGAUUUUUGUGUUGUACAUGUGUAAUUAUCUUGACAAAAAAAUCCCAUCCUGCUUUCUUUAAACGGUCAAAGGAAUGACUCAUUGAGAAUCUGUGCUCUGGAACAUGAGCAAAAAGGCUGUCUCAGUAGUGUGCAGCUAAUCACUUGGUCUGACGCCUCCCCCCUAAACGUGGUUUUAGGCCUUGUUCACAUGAUAAAGGCUCCAUUACAAACUGGACAGUCAUUGCUUUGCCUUGUUAAAAAAAAAUCAGCGUUCACCUGAAAACACAAAAAACGAAAAUGCUGGAGUUUGCACGAAAGACCAGUAUUUGACGUUUUUUCUGUGCUGUUAGCUUUGUUACGAACACCACUGAAGAACAUCACGCAACUAUGCAAAAGAGCCGUUCUUCGACAGAGCGGUGUGUACAAACAAACAAGAAGACUAAAGUGAAUGCAGCUCAGUAGUCGGCCAUCGUUGUUAUAUCCCUCCUAUACCUGCAUGGCUAUUUGAUUGGGAAAAUAAAACAUGCCACUAUACACAAAAGGGGCUGCGACGUCCCUUUUUCAGAGGAUCCGUACGUUGAUGGUAGAGGUUGCAUUUAAAAAAAAAUCUACUCUGGAACCAGAUUUCAAAAGUUUGCGUUUUCAAUCGUUUCCAUGUAAAUGAAAGACCAAAAUGCAACAAUAGUUUACAGUUUUCAAUAGAAAACAUUUACCCUCAGGCAGUAAAGAUAACUGUGUAGAGAUAGUCUCUCCUCUUGUUGAUGGUCUUGUUCAUUUUGCAGGUCAUAAAGAGGCAUUGAUAUUAGGUUCAGUCUGAUUCAUAACCAGCUAAAAAACUCCUUAAAGGAGAUCUUUUCACAGACAAAAUAAAAUUGUUAGAAUUCUUUUUUUAAAGCGGAUGUUAAAAAUGCACUUUACUGAUAAGUCUGGUUUGUUUUCAUAUUUGUGAACUUUAUCAAUAUGACUUAUUUUUCAGUACUGUUAAUCUGCUUUGAUUUGUUUCUCGAAUAUUAUCUUUGUGCACUUGCGGCUUCUGUACCUCUUGGGUAUCCGUAGCUCCCCCCAUUGGUCCCUGACAGUGCUGUUUUGCUUUGCUGAGGGAGCAGAGGUGCAGAAAGCAGAGUCCAGGAGGCAAUUUGUGUGUUUUUUUGUUUUCUGCAGAGUGAAUAAAUACUGGAAACCA